GACGAACGCUGGCGGCGUGCCUAACACAUGCAAGUCGAGCGGAGACAAGAAAUUAGCUUGCUAAGAUCUUGUUUUAGCGGCGGACGGGUGAGUAACGCGUGAGCAACCUUUCUCUCAGUGGGGAAUAACACAGCGAAAGUUGUACUAAUACCGCAUGAGACCACAGCACUGCAUGGUGCAGGGGUCAAAGAUUUAUGUGCUGAAAGAUGGUCUCGCGUCUGAUUAGCUGGAUGGCGGGGUAACGGCCCACCAUGGCGACGAUCAGUAGCCGGUCUGAGAGGAUGAACGGCCACAUUGGGACUGAGAUACGGCCAG
rnacentral:rRNA from 1 species